rnacentral:rRNA from 1 species
UGGGGGAUUUUGCACAAUGGGCGCAAGCCUGAUGCAGCGACGCCGCGUGAGGGAUGAAGGCCUUCGGGUUGUAAACCUCUUUCGCUGGGUUGAAAGGCCAUGCUUUGGGUGUGGUUGAUUUGAACUGGUAAAGAAGUACCGGCUAACUACGUGCCAGCAGCCGCGGUAAUACGUAGGGUACUAGCGUUGUCCGGAUUUAUUGGGCGUAAAGGGCUUGUAGGUGGUUUGUCGCGUCUGUCGUGAAAUCCUGUGGCUUAACCAUGGGCUUGCAGUGGGUACGGGCAGGCUUGAGUGCGGUAGGGGAGACUGGAAUUCCUGGUGUAGCGGUGGAAUGCGCAGAUAUCAGGAGGAACACCGGUGGCGAAGGCGGGUCUCUGGGCCGUUACUGACACUGAGGAGCGAAAGCGUGGGGAGCGAACAGG